GACACCUCCUGCCUCCUGCCUCUGCCUCCCCAGUGCUGGGAUUAAAGGCAUGCACCACCAUCACCACCACUACCACCACCCAGCAGGACUUGCUAUUUUAAGAACAAAAUUAGACUUCAUCCAGAGACAACCAAUCUUCUUUCCACUAUUAGAUGACCCUGAACCUUAAACAAAUUGAGUUUGCAGCCAAGAAAUGAAGAGAACCGGGAUGCUCCUCACUUGAUGAUGAUACCUGAGGAACCUAAAAAGAACUCUCAAGUGGUCUGUAGCUUCUGCAGGACCCCCUUAUUGGCAUGAGGGAAGACCUGAGGGACUAGUGAAUUGCUCUGUACAGAAACUGUAGUGUCAAUGAUGUCUGGAAAAGUUAUAAUGUUUACAAGGCAUAUAACAACAGUGACGGAAGAGAAGGGAUGGUGAAAAGAAUUCAGAGUUGGGAUCCACAGAACUUCGAACUCUGUGGUCUAGAUACAAUUGAAGAAAUGAAGAUGACCAUUCCAUCCUAACUCUGGGAAGAGAACAGUAAGUCACUGGAUGAAUUCUGGGAGAACUGAACUCAGAGAAAAAUUGGUUUCAGUUUGACUACAUGCAAUCUCAAGGCAAGACAGUUACAUAAUAUGGGCAUGUCAAGCAAAAGAGGCUUAGAAUGAAAGAAAGAGAGAGAGAGAGAGAGAGAGAGAGAGAGAGAGAGAGAGAGAAGGAAGGAAGGAAAGAAGGAAGGAAACUAAUAUCGAGGUGGCACCUGAAGCUGAGAACUAUAUAACCUAAUCCAAGGUAGAAGAGGAGGACAGGCAGAGAAUUGAUCUUUGGAGAUAAUCAUAGAAGAAGCACCAAGAGAAGGUACCAAGUAGGUGAUGAUAUUGUAGGUAUCCCCCAUUUCCUUUUGGAGCGCUGCGGUGCUUAGUAACCUUGGAGACUAACUUACAUGAGUAGUAUAUAUGACUCCCUGGUCUCCAAAAGUUGGUCAAAGGUGGCCUGUGGGAGGAUCUGAUGAAGCUCAGAGGAGAGAGAGGGAAGAUAUGGUAUCGAUUCUCCUAGCUGCCUCCCUUCUGUAUUGGCCCAAGUUUUCCAGAAAUCCACAUCUUGUGACAGGUGGUGACUCUGGUUCCCAUAUCUUGUCCCCCAGAGUUGUCCCCACCUUCCUCUAGUUCCGGUUUACUCACCAUUUCUUCUUCAUUUCCUAUACUCUACUUCAAAUUUCUCUCCUCUAUUUAAAGCAUUUUUAGUUGAUUGGUAAUAUCUCUAUAUACUUGUAGAAUACACUGUGCUGUUUUAAUGAUUACAUAAUAUGUAAAGAUCAAAUAAGGGUAACUGGCAUACUCAUCAACUCAGAAGUUCUGUGACUCUGUUGAAAAUUUGUAAGACCCUCUCUAGCUGGUUAGAAAUAUUCAAUUGACUAUUGUCAACCCGAGUAACUGUUGUCCUACAUAGCUAUUAGAAGCUAUUUUUCCAUUCCAAGCAUGCGUUCUGUAUCCAUUAAACAUCCUCGCCCCAUCUCCUCUAUCUCCGGCCACAGGUAACUAACCAUUCUGUUCUAUACUUCCAUGGUGUCAGCCUUUUAAACUUCUAUGGGUAGGUAAGGAUAGUCAGAUCUGUGUUUCUGCGUCUGGCUUAUUUCAGUUUUUAUGGAGUCCUCCAGGCUCAUCCAUGCUAUUUAUUCCAUUGUAUUUAUGCAGCACAUCUUUGCUAUCCAUUGUAGAUACCUAGGUUAAUUUCAUGUCCUCUCUGUUAUGAAUGGUGCUGCUGUAACAGACGUGAGAAUCCUGCGCCUGCGUUCAUCCCUUCAUUGUCUCCCUUUCAAUCAGUUCCUGUGGAUGUGCCAUAUGCCUCCUGCUAGGAUCCCUACUGAUUUCAGGGUAAAUCCAGGAGGAAUCCUGGAAUCCACAGUAAGAGCUUAACAAGUGUUCUGACCACAGAAUGGGAUGCGGAGUAGUGAAAAAAAAUCAGAAUUUGCCUUGUUUGAGGCUUUUAAAAAUUGUGUCCUCUUUUGUUUUUGUUUGUUUGUUUCCUUGAGAAACGAAGUGAGCAGGGGUUCCUUUGCAAGCUUUGGUAGAAAAAAAGGAAUAGUCAAAGAAAACUAGAAAUAGUAAGUAAAGUGAUUGCUUUGACAAGGCUGGUAAUUUAGGGGGACAAAGAGAGAGACAGGAUGUCAGUGUGGAACAGAGCUAAUCUAUAUCUUUAAAGUUAAGGAGAGUUGAAAAUAGCACCAUAAAACAACUUUCUUGGGGUCAAUUGCUUGAUUGUCACAUAAGGCAAGAGGCCUCUUUAAAUUACCUUAUCACCUUCUCCCCAGGAUUUUCAUAUGACAGAAAGGCUGCAAAUACAACCAAGAGACAGCUAAAGCUGAAAUAACUACUUGGGUCUUACCUUGGUGAGUCAUUGCCCUUAUCAAUCAUUUAUAGGACACUAUAAGCCAGCACUAGGAAAAUGAUGAUUCUUUAUUGCUUGUUAAAAAUAUUUAUAUUUUCCUCUACCAGCUGUAUAAGAGGAAUUGAUAUUUUCUGAAUUGCUAAGUCAAUAACAUCUUCCUCGAGCCAUCAAAGGAUUUGAUAAACCAGCAAAACACGAGAGCCUCUGCCGCAAAUAAGUGGGAGGCACUUGGGCUGUCAGGCAAUUAAGUGGACCUGAAUAAACUGAUGUAAUUAAGCCUC